rnacentral:tRNA from 1 species
UCCUCGGUAGCUCAGUAGGUAGAGCAAACGACUGUUAAUCGUUGGGUCGCAGGUUCGAGUCCUGCCCGGGGAG